rnacentral:tRNA from 1 species
GGAUUGUGGCUCAGUGGUAGAGCACUUGCCUGGCAUGUGUAAGGGCCUGGGUUCAAUCCUCAGCACCA